rnacentral:rRNA from 1 species
AUGACUAAAAUUCUCGAGAAGGUUUGGAAAAAGUUCACUGCACAAGCUCUGGGACUACCGGUGGAGCUGCGAUUUAACCACCCGAAAUGGUUGUGGCAGAAACCCAGGAAUGAUUUCUGUGGAUACUACAUUUGCGAGUUCAUCCGCCACAUGACCUGUGAGCGGGGCUACUCUAAAAAACAAUAUGAAAUGUGGCAGAUGCAGGAUGAACUCCUACCACAAGAUCGCAUGCGAGCAAUUCAAGAGGAAUUGGCGGGAUUCUUUCUUGACCACGUCAUCGAGAAACACGGAGAAUACCAUGUGGAAAUUGAGUUCAUAUGUUAG